GACGAACGCUGGCGGCGUGCUUAACACAUGCAAGUCGAACGGAAAGGCCCUGCUUUUGUGGGGUGCUCGAGUGGCGAACGGGUGAGUAACACGUGAGUAACCUGCCCUUGACUUUGGGAUAACUUCAGGAAACUGGGGCUAAUACCGGAUAGGAGCUCCUGCUGCAUGGUGGGGGUUGGAAAUUUUCGGCGGUUGGGGAUGGACUCGCGGCUUAUCAGCUUGUUGGUGGGGUAGUGGCUUACCAAGGCUUUGACGGGUAGCCGGCCUGAGAGGGUGACCGGCCACAUUGAGACUGAGAUACGGCCCAGACUCCUACGGGAGGCAGCAGUGGGGAAUAUUGCACAAUGGGCGGAAGCCUGAUGCAGCAACGCCGCGUGCGGGAUGACGGCCUUCGGGUUGUAAACCGCUUUCGCCUGUGACGAAGCGUGAGUGACGGUAAUGGGUAAAGAAGCACCGGCUAACUACGUG
rnacentral:rRNA from 1 species